GUGGGGAAUAUUGGACAAUGGGCGAAAGCCUGAUCCAGCCAUGCCGCGUGUGUGAAGAAGGUCUUCGGAUUGUAAAGCACUUUAAGUUGGGAGGAAGGGCAGUAAGUUAAUACCUUGCUGUUUUGACGUUACCAACAGAAUAAGCACCGGCUAACUUCGUGCCAGCAGCCGCGGUAAUACGAAGGGUGCAAGCGUUAAUCGGAAUUACUGGGCGUAAAGCGCGCGUAGGUGGUUUUGUAAGUUGGAGGUGAAAUCCCCGGGCUCAACCUGGGAACUGCCUACAAAACUGCAUGACUAGAGUACGGUAGAGGGUAGUGGAAUUUCCUGUGUAGCGGUGAAAUGCGUAGAUAUAGGAAGGAACACCAGUGGCGAAGGCGACUACCUGGACUGAUACUGACACUGAGGUGCGAAAGCGUGGGGAGCAAACAGGAUUAGAUACCCCGGUAGUCC
rnacentral:rRNA from 1 species